rnacentral:rRNA from 1 species
CAGUAGCCGCGGGAAUACGUAGGGUGCAAGCGUUAAUCGGAAUUACUGGGCGUAAAGCGUGCGCAGGCGGUUUGUUAAGACAGAUGUGAAAUCCCCGGGCUCAACCUGGGAACUGCAUUUGUGACUGGCAAGCUAGAGUCUGGCAGAGGGGGGUGGAAUUCCGCGUGUAGCAGUGAAAUGCGUAGAUACGCGGAGGAACACCGAUGGCGAAGGCAGCCCCCUGGGCCAACACUGACGCUCAUGCACGAAAGCGUGGGGAGCAAACAGGAUUAGAUACCCGCGUAGUCCCUGUCUCUUAUAC